CUAAGGUUUCUUGAGGAAGGUUCGUCCGCUCAAGGUAAGCCGGGAGCUAAGGCGAGGCCGAGAGGCGUAGUCGAUGCACAUACGGUAAAGAUUCCGUAGCCACCGAAGUCGUUAAAUACAGGGACACAGGAACAUAGCCUAACCCCACCGUUGGUUGAGUGGGGCGUAAGGGAGCGAAAAAUAGUAGCGAAGUAGGUGAUUGUACACUGGCGAGAAAAGCUGUAUGUAUUGAUAAGGUGCCCGUACCGCAAACCGACACAGGUAGAUGAGGAGAGAAUCCUAAGACCAGCGGGAGAAGUGUUGUUAAGGAACUCGGCAAAAUGACCCCGUAACUUCGGGAUAAGGGGAGCCUACGCGAGUAGGCCGCAGAGAAUAGUCUCAAGCGACUGUUUAGCAAAAACACAGGUCUAUGCUAAAUCGAAAGAUGAUGUAUAUGGGCUGACGCCUGCCCGGUGCUGGAAGGUUAAGGGGAAGUGUUAGAGCAAUCGAAGCACUGAACUUAAGCCCCAGUAAACGGCGGCCGUAACUAUAACGGUCCUAAGGUAGCGAAAUUCCUUGUCAGGUAAGUUCUGACCCGCACGAAUGGCGUAACGACUUGAGAGCUGUCUCAACAACAUACCCGGCGAAAUUGAAGUACUGGUAAAGAUGCCAGUUACCCGUGAUAAGACGGAAAGACCCCAUGGAGCUUUACUGUAACUUGAUAUUGAAUUUUUGUAUUACAUGUACAGGAUAGGUGGGAGACAGAGAACUAAUGCCGCCAGGUGUUAGGGAGUCGAUGUUGGGAUACCACUCUUGUAAUAUGAAGGUUCUAACCUGCACCCGUGAAUCCGGGUGGGGGACACUGUCAGGUGGACAGUUUGACUGGGGCGGUCGCCUCCUAAAAGGUAACGGAGGCGUUCAAAGGUUGGUUCAGCACGGACGGAAAUCGUGCAACGAGUGCAAACGCAUAAACCAGCCUAACUGCGAGACCGACAAGUCGAGCAGUAACGAAAGUUGGAGUUAGUGAUCCGGCGGUAUGAGAGUGGAAUUGCCGUCGCUCAACGGAUAAAAGCUACCCUGGGGAUAACAGGCUGAUCUCCCCCAAGAGUUCACAUCGACGGGGAGGUUUGGCACCUCGAUGUCGGCUCAUCGCAUCCUGGAGCUGAAGUCGGUUCCAAGGGUUGGGCUGUUCGCCCAUUAAAGCGGUACGCGAGCUGGGUUCAGAACGUCGCGAGACAGUUCGGUCCCUAUCUAUCACGGGCGUAGGAAAUUUGAGGAGAGCUGACCUUAGUACGAGAGGACCGGGUUGGACGUACCGCUGGUGCACCUGUUGUUCUGCCAAGGGCAUAGCAGGGUAGCUAAGUACGGACGGGAUAAACGCUGAAGGCAUCUAAGCGUGAAGCCCCCUUCGAGAUAAGAUUUCCCAUAGCGUAGGCUAGUAAGGACCCAUGAAGACUACAUGGUUGAUAGGCCGGAGGUGGAAGUGCAGUAAUGUAUGCAGCUGACCGGUACUAAUAGUCCGAGGGCUUGACCA
rnacentral:rRNA from 1 species